GCCGCCACCGCCGCCGCCGUCGCUACCACCACCGCCACCGCCGUUGCCGCCGUUGCCGGCGCCGCCGCCGCCGUUGCUGCUGCCACCGACACCGUCGAUCGAAAAGAGGCCCGUGUUGUACGCGCCCGCGCACACGCUUUACUUCGCAUGCGUAUUGAACGCGAGAGAACCGGUGUCCUCUCUUUCUGCCUCCGCACCGCAGCGUAUCCGCACGCGCCGCUUCCUCCUCGUCGUCGUCGUCGUCGUCGUCGUCGUCGUCGUCGUUGCCGUUACUGCCGGUCGCGAGAGAGUCGGCCGCGGAGUUCGUUACCGUUCCUCUUCCUCUCCACUUCUUCCUCUCGCUUUCUUCUAACGCGAUUAAUGCAGUCAAUUUUUCCCCCGCGACUCUUUUUCCUUGCGCCCGUACGAUCGCACGAGUUUGCUCUAAUGGUUUAUUCUUUUUACUCAAUUUUAAAUUAUACUCGCAACGCAUCGAUUAUUGUAGUACUUCUCUCAUUUGUUUGCUGUAUCAUUCAAAUAACUUUGUGUUAAAAUAUUUAAUUCACGUAUAUUUCGGUAUCACGUUGGAAAUAUUCUUGUUAUCUUUCUUUUGUCCUUGCAAAUUAUAUACUUGGCAAAGUUAAUUUUAAAAUGAUAGAAUAUAUAGGUUUUUCCCCUCUUACAAUCUCCUUAUCUUUUGAGCCACGUCUGCUCUCGCAAAUCUAAAUUGAAGGACAGGUUUAUAUCGGAGAGUCGAUUAAUACGCUAGGGUAGAUGAAGUCGGGUAAAAGGGUGAAGCUCAUUGUUACAUUGAUUUUGAAUGUGCGGGAAGCUGGAACGUUCGUUCGGAACCAAGAGUGAUUUGUUUUAAAGGCAAAUAGAGCCUUUCUUCGUAUUCGGCCCUUGUAAUCCGCUUGUUGCCCCUUAUGCAGUGCAUCUGCCUCUUGCGCGGAGCACCCAGUUAUUUGUUUGUCUGGUUUUACCAAAUUAGAAUCGCGCAGAAGAGAAAACAUUGGACACUCAGGGGCGAGACGAGAUGACAGAUCGAAUCUACGUUGCUUUUAAUUAGAAAACGCGACACAUGUAAUCCCCCCCGUUCGUACGAUAAUCUUUCAUUUGCAAAGUGCAACAAGUGAGUUCAGCUUCGUGCAGUUUACCGAGUUUCCAUACCGGCGUAACAUUCUAUUUUAUAUACAUUUUUUUUCCGUCGCGUUACAUAGCAAUCUUUACCUACGUUUUUUUAAUUAUCUUUUUGUCCUUUUAUGUUUCGCCCUGCUGCCAUGCCCGAAAGUCCGUCUAAUAGAGAUAGUUUUCUAAAGAACGUGCGUCGGAGGAUCUUCGAAUGGAGAUGAAAAAGACGGUGGAACCUUCGUUAAUUUUGUCCUUCUUUCUCUUUCUCGUCGCGGAAAUUGCGGUUUAUCUGAUCUUCACCAGGUCUGCACGCUAAUUCUCUUUAUUACUGUCCUUUUCAUUAAAUUUCCUCAACGUGCGAUUUUAUUAUAAUCGUGAGCAAAUACAGUACGCGUUUUCAAACAUGAAUUUAGUAUACUAUUGCGUUUUCUAUUGUCUAAGAUACUUGUAAAAGAAAAUAUUUUGAAAAUAUGAAUUUACACAUUUUUACACGUGUACGUGCAACAUUUUCCAAUCUACUAUACUAUGUACGUGUUCCGAAAAACGUAUUCGUACAAGUUCAUAAAGUAUUUAGGGAUUCGAAGAAGAGAGAGAAUGUGUGUAUGUGUGUUUUUAGAGAUUUAUGUUGACUUUAAAUAUGGAUAUAUAGAUGUAGAAGAUGUAUAUACGGCGAGAAAAGAAUAAUUUCUUUCGGCUAGUAAGAAAUGUAGUAAAAAAAGAGAAAGGGGGAAAGAAAAAUAGUUAAAAGUCGCAUUUGAGGAGGAGUCUCGGAUAUAACUAUUUUUCUCUUUCUCCCGGCACACAAUUUUUUCCACUCUUAAUGCGUUCUCCUCUUUAUACGUUAAUCCUUGCUCUUUCUCUUCCUCUCUUUUAAGAUAAUUCUUCUGUAACGCCGCCCGGAAUUCCUGCGUACGGCAAGAAAUUCGUGAAAAAAAAAAAAAUACCACGGCUAUGCAAAGAGGACUAGAAUUUGUUACCGCCCCAGGAAUGUGCAUAUUUUCAUUGGGUUUGUCUCCGCAUAAUACCGAAUCGAGACGUAAAAUCAAAUAUGUAGGAAAAUACUCGAUAUUAUAUUAAAUAACAAAUAACAAUAAAUUAUUACAUAAAUAAAUUAGUUAAAUAAAAUACGCAAACGUAAUAAUAGGGUACAAAUGAGUUAUCUAUUAUUAAAAUUGAUAUAAUACCAUUAUAUUACGAAAGAUAUCGUGUGCAAAACGCAAUACGUUGAUUUAGGCAAUCACAUUUUCGCAUAAACAUUGAGAAAACAUAACAAAAUGCAAAUUACGUAGAUUACGUUUCGAAGGUAUAAUUAUUACGUAUAACAUAUGUAGUUCAAUACAAAAUAUUGGAUAGAAAAAGAAGACUCGCUGCCGCGUCGUUGUAACUUGCCUUUCUCUACAUCGCUGAAAGUGCUCCGCCAAGAAAUGAUGCCCCAUCGAAUUCUUGGCAGCGCCUUAUAUCUGCCCGAAGCGGGCGAUGAGGACCGUCGAGGUUGAAGAACGAAAUUGGACUUUCUACGUGCGAGACGGUACGCAGAACGAGCACGGCACUUUGUCACGCAUGUGUUUCACAUUCAUUUACAGAUAUGCCCGCUUCGCAUUCCAAAUGUGAGAUUUCGUCUGCCUAAAUUUGUUCCUUUGUUCUCUACUAUUUAGAUGCGACUUGAUUGGCUUUCUUUCGAAUAUAAUAUGUCGAACAGACAACAAUAAUUAUACACUUAUACGUGCAAAGACAUUGAGAUAGCACUUGAAAAUCUUGUGCGACUUUGCAGACUUUGCGACUUGCGUAAAAUAAUAUAGCCGGUUUAAUAGGAGCAAAGAAUAUGUAGACUACUGGCAAGUUAAAUUACACAGUAAGAUUUUUAAGCAUACAAUUACGGAACAAGUAAUUUCGAAGUAUUUCCUAUCUGUUUGCGAAUACAGUCGUAGACUACAACAGUUAUUUGAAUUCCACAGAUAGGUACGAAUAUUCGGUAUGCGGGCAAAACGUCUUAGACUCAAUUUUUCGUAAAUGGAUUUUUCGUGGUGGAAUAUAUAGAGAAUCUUUCUAUAUAAUAUGGUAUGAAAAUUUGAUGCGAAAGAAAUUGGAUUUAAGCUGUAGUGCGCUACGCCAAACACACAUUCGCGUGUACGAUAUAUUGCCCAAGGGAAAGCGCAAUGUGUGUUUGCUACUCCGACGAUAAACGAUAUUAACAAAACACUAAAACACUUUUUUUACAGUCUCAAUGAUUUGUGAAUUACUACUAGUCGUGCGAAUCAAAAAAUCCGCGCGCGGGGAGGAGAGAAAGAGAGAGAGAGAGAGAGAGAGGAAUUUCGAUUAGUACCACGGGACGAAAUUUUUUUAACAAUUUUUUCCCUCCCCCCUUCCUCGAAAUAACAAUAACUCUCGAUAUGUGUCGCUAAUGGAUUAGUGAAGGUUUGCGCGCGCGAACCCAAGUACGCUUCAAUUUGCGAAACUCUGCAGUUAAUGGACUCGCGCCAUAGCGCGAGCUAUUAAAUUCCGUCACAUGUACGCGAAAACGAUAUACAGAGGGAGAUUUUGUUUACUGCGCGGAUUAGCGCAGGUAUUAGUAACCGGACUUUAUUCGCGCAUUUAAUAUCGGCACUGCAUCGCGCGCGUAUUAUCGCCGCUGCCGCCGCUGCCGCCGCCGCCGCCGCCGCUACGUGUCGUCCACGCACACUUAUGUCACCGACGCACUCGUCCGAUGACAUUAUUAUCGAAAAGCGUUUUACCACGGGAGAGCACGUUCGCUCGCUUUUCGCGGAUAAAUGUUACGUGUGGCAGCCACGCUACCUGCGAGACCGAGAGAAAGCGCAGCACGAGAGAGCUCUCCACUCCGCCGUUAAGCGAUAAUAAUAGGCGUUGCACAUGUACUCGCAAAGAGAUAGAGAUAGAGAUAGAAAUGUGAGAAAGAGAAUGUGUGUAUGUGUGUAUGAGAGAGAGGGAGAGACGAGAUCGAGAUACAUACAUCGGCGAGAUGCCCAGGAGGAAACAAUGCAUCCCGUUGUGCACGUCAAUGAGACCUGCGGAAUCUCGUUAGCGCUCUAAAUCCUCCUUUUUUAAGGCCACGAUGCAUUUCUAGGUUCAAGACACACGUGAUAUAUUCGCGUACCGAGUUUGCAUCCGGCGGCCAUAAUGUCGCUCGUAAUGUCUUCACUAUUCAGAUAAACCAUGUCGCGCGAAUACAAAGUGCGCCGAAAAAAAAAAAAGAAAAAAGAAAAAAAACGCAUCCUAAUAUGCAAAGAAUUCCUUCACCGCCGUAAGGGCCAUUAUCGAAAAUCCCAUUCUUUCCUACAUUCCAUCGUGAAAAUGAUAACGUAUUUCGCUAUCUCGUAUUACGUCGAUUCGGGGAAAAAGAGUCUACGUCGUGUCGCGCAUUCUUCAUUUAAUAAUAACGCUCACGUAGACAAUUCGUGUUGCACCAAUUUCGCAAACCGGAUCGGGAUUCGAGUGCGCGCGCGAGGAGAACGUGACGGUCCCCAUGGCGGGAGAGGGUACGGGAGAUCUAAUACUCCUUAGAAAUUCAAGAAUGAACCGAUACGUAGGUACGCACGAUCGAGCCGGGAAUCGAAGAUGGAUCGUGCGCGUGAGGCAGAGGUAAUGGAAGCUGGCCCGAAUAAAAUUACAGCAAAUAUUGUACCAACGGCUAUCCCCCGGUAUGAGCGAUCGGAUAAUCGAUCUUGGGCGCUUUAACAUCAAGCUGGAAUCUUUCGGUGCACGAGAAAUUAGCGUGUCCCAUGGCGCGGCCGCGGCAACCAUCGAUAAAGUCGGAAUAGUGCGGGAGAAAUUUUUCGGGAAAUUUCCCUUCCAGCCGUGAAUUCAGCACGGCUGUUCCGCGAUUCCAAAUUUCCUUUAUUUAAUCCAGCAAUCAUCAUACAUCAUCCGACCCGCCGGCGUUGUUGCAUUUAUAUAUUGCUCCUCCAUCUUUCAGUCGCGCGCGUCGUUUCCUUUCAUAUUUUGAAGGCGCGUCUAUCUUACCCCUCAGCGGCUUCAUGGCCCGCGGAUAUUAAAUUAUGUUAAGUGAAACUAACAGAUCUCACACAAAGAGAAUUGCGCUUUAUUCGUGCAUGCGCGAGAAGAAUUUUCCCCUCUCUUUUCUGUCUACGUUGGAAAAAUUUAAUCAACCGUUCGAGCUGCAACGCGAUUGGCUUCGUCAUCAAUUAUCACUUGCGAACAUUAUUUAUCACGCGAUAGCCAGACGGUCGUAAUUGUUUCUCGUCGUUCGCCAGUAUAUUUUUGAUACGGAAAAAUUGUUAUCUUUUUACAUUUCUCGUACAUUUUCUUCGAAGACGAAUACUUCCAGUAACUAUCGCGACCGUUGAUUGUUCUACCUUUUGUCGGUUGAGUUUUUAAUUCUCCGCGGUAGAGAGUGUCUUCGUUUAGAAGACCACAAUUUCUCACGGACGAAUACACCCGUGGGUGCACUUCGCUCUCGCGUUCGGACGCGCGCUAUUUCGCAUCGCGCUUGAACGGCAACGUCAAUCUGGACUGCCGAGCCAAGGGAAUGAAACGGUAACUAGCCGGUAUUCACUCUUCCCGGAAACAAGCAAGGGUAGACACAAUCUACUCGCCCGUGCUAGUACGCAUUCAUCCGCAGUUGUUUCGCUUCGCGUGUAAGUUCUAUUGAAAUUCGUGCACGAUAUCGGACAAUAAUAAUACAAUAAUUGAGAAAAAAGUAUUGAGAAAAUUCUACAUACAAAUGUUUGAAUUGCCGAAUAUUUUGAAAUACUAGAAAAGUAAUAAAACGUGCUACAGCUCGUUGAAUUGAAUUUCAUUGAAACGGUUCUAACAAAAUGAACGAAGCGGCUAAAUAUUAUUGAAUGGUACGAAAUCAUCCGUAUAAAAUACAAUGUAAUUUAAUACGGUAAAUGCACACAGAGAUUCCAGAGAAAAAUCGUUAAUUCGGAAUUGCGAAAACGAGUAGUAAGAACAAGCAAAAAAAAAAAACCAACGUCGGUGCUUUCUGAAUUGAGAAACAUACGAGCUUCAUUUAAAAUUAAGCUCGCGCUCGCAGAUAUGGGCGAUAAAGCUGAUAGCACUUUUAGAAUUUUGUUACACCGCGAUCGAGAAGGUCAAUCAAAUUUGCGCAAUUGUAAGAGUGGAAAUUUCUAUGUAGUCGGUCAGCAUUAUCGAGCGCAACGUAACAAUUGUCUGAUACUGGGCACUAGGCCAAUCACAUUCCGUUAAUGAAAUGGAAUUCAGUUUUGGCGAACGUGCGAUCUUAAUUCACUCGUUCUACCCCACGUGUGAAGGUUCGAAAAACAAAAAAAAAAAAGGUGCAACUGUUACGUGCACUUCGGUAAUUUUAUUUUGCUAAUGUGUUAAAUAAUAUUCAUUCAUACGUAUCGAAUAAAUAACAGAAAUAUUAAACUUUCUGUUCAUUAUUUCGAGGACAAUUGAUUUGAGAUUUCGCGCGACUUGUUUUAUUGAUUAACGAUAAAACAUCGUUAUAUUUUUCUUUAUUGCGAUUGCCGCGUCGAGCCAUUUGUUCCAAUAAUAUAAUUUUUCACCUAAUUGUAAUUGCAGCAAUUUAAUACUUAUAAUAAUAACAACUUCGUUUGACAAAAACGUUAAUAACGUCAAGCUAAUAUCUCUCGGUCGAGCGAUUUUCCUCAUUAGUGCUGAAGGGAUUGACCUGUCCUUUUUGCCCUAUCCUUAGAAGAAACCUCUUCUAUUUUAUGAGGUAAAAUACAAUUUCGUCAUCCCCUUUUAAAAGAGCGAUUUUUCGCUGCAUUGCAAUAAAGUGAUAUCAAUAUACUUGACUUGAGAAUAGCUUACGACAAAUACGUAACUAUGAAAAUUCGUUGAAAACGCCAAUUUAUUAUAACAACUUAAUUUUAAACAGAAAAAUAAGUAUAUUUUAAAAUUUGUCCCAUUUUGCAAUUAUGGAACAGUAUUUAAAACUUUUCUACAUAUAAUUAUCGAUCUGUAGCUAUAUUUAAAUUAGUUUAAAGUAAAAUACAAAAAAAGAUAUUUUUAUUCCAGCGGUGUGAUAAACAUAGAUGUGUCUAAAAACACAAUGCAAAUGGGUAAUAAUAGAACUUUGCGUAAUGACGUCUGGCGGAUAGUUGAUCCCACCAAUGUGAAAGAGAUAAAGUCCCGUGCCUUUUAUUCCGGAAUAAAGCGACUGUCUGCCUCAUCCAACAUCACCUCUUUAAGAGGUAUAACGCAUUUCAACAAAGAGCUGCCCGUAUUCAGGAGACACCGCGUAGGCAAACAAGGAAGAAAAGAGAAUAAGAUGCGGUAACGAGCGGUUUGUAGAAAAUCUCGUAAAAGUAUCUCAGACGGCAACAUUGGAUGUAGAUUUAAUAAGAUCUGCAUUAACAGAUGCCGCACGACAGGUACUGAAAGUACAUUGUUCCGUAGUUGUACACGGAGGAUUAUGGUCGUCAAUAUUCUUUGUUUCAAAUUACAAAGUUCGCGAGAUCCCUACAUUCCUUCCUACGAGUUCUCCAUUUAAUUCUCGCAAUUACCAUACGGAGUAAUUGAAAAUGCGAAUACCUCAUCGAACGUGAUGUAAGACUCGAUAGUGCAAGCCGCGAACUAAUCGAACCAGCGGGAUACCGCUAAUAGACUACUGUAUGACUUCAUUAACCGCCAAUUGAAUGUAAUCAACAUCCGUGACGCUAGUUCACUCGUUUCGCCGCGGCGAGUGCCUUCCCUACAUGUAACGUCGUCGCCGCUACGACACCGGGGAGAGAUGACUGUUCUUCGUUUUCAUUUGUCUCUGGUGAUGGUACGCGUCGGACUAACAACGUCGGCAAACCUCGUUAUAAAGCGCGGCCACGGGCUCGCGUUACGUGUCCGGAAGGGGAAAUACGCGGAAUACGCUUGUACGAUUGCGCCCGGCGCCGCGCGCCGUCCCUCUCGUCGUCAGUAUGCGAGCGUUCUCGAGAACCCUUCUGAAAUUUUCACCGCACCGGAAAUACCAGACAGCCGCACCCUCCGCUCGAAAACGGGUCGAAACAACGACGAGGUUUCCACGCGCCAUGAGCAUCCAAUAAAUCAUCUUCGCAGCAAGAGGAAAAAAAAAAAAGGAUCGAGCAACCUGGCUGACGAGAAGGAGAGAAAGAGGGCCGUCACCGUAGUUGGUAAUUGGAUGUUACGUAGCAUCGUCGUCGCAAUAAUUAGCGUGAAUUGUUUGCUUCUUCCCGGCAAUUAACGGACCGUACACUGGCUCGGUGCGAGAUCGCUUUCGAGCGACUUCUGAACAAUUUUCUGCGAGACGUGAACGUUAUGUAAGAUACGGCCAAGGAUUUGUGCCAUCGAGAGGAUUGUCGCUCGCCGAGGGAAGAAAAAGAAAAAUUCGCGCGAUUUUGCCCCAGUAAUUACAUUUUUACGUCGUUGACAUGCCAAGCUCGAUGUUCGUGGGCGAGGAUGUCUGACUACAGGCUUACCUAUAUCCUUUCGGAUUAUAGCGGAUCGAGCGUAAAGCGUCAUUUCGUGCUGUAACGGAGAUAAAAAUAAAAGAAGAACGCUCUAUCGUGAGACUAGUACAGUGAUUUAAGUCUGUACACUCGUUACAUAAUGUAAAUUUCAUGUUCCGAAAGAGAUAUCAGUUCAAUUUUCGAAAUGGUCUUCAUUAAAAAAUUAAAAAUUUAGAAAAUCCAACCAGAUACGCAACGCCGUACAUUAUUGAGUAUUAUUGAAUAUAUAUUAGAUUAUAUCUAUAUUUAGCAGAAAUAUUACUUGAAAUAGAGAUGAAAUUUGAUGCAAAUUAUGAAACAAUCAAGCAUAAUUAAAGGUUAAUAAUUUCUAUCGCAAAUUUCAGAUUCUAACGAUUAAGUUUCUCCUCCGUUGCAGCUCAGCUUGAUUUCCUCGUGCUAUAUAUAUUCACUAUGUUGGAUGCUGUGAUGUUAUACAACUACAAGCCUCGUAAAAAAGAAGAGUCUCUUGUAGCUAUAAGGAGCAGGUCUUUUUACUAUCACAAGAUUUACGAGUGUGAUAUGACUACAAAAUUCAAAAGUGUCGAUACCAUACGUUUCUUAAUGGCAUAAGAUAAAAACUAAUGCAUUUAAUAUUAUUGAUUAUUUAUAAAAAUAAAAAAAUGUAUAUUAAGUAUUUUUCCAAGUGUAUUGCUUCUCUUAAAAACGUCCUACUUUUUCCUUAAUAAAAUAUUACAUUUCAGUGUUUCAUUCCGAAAAUAUUCUUCAAAAAUUCCUUAGAUAAAUUAUUUGAAAAGCACCGUCUGUUAACGUAGCCCAAGUCUACGCUUGUUUCAAAGCUCCUUUACCGGAUUGACGAUAACAUGUACUAUAAAUUUAAUACCACUCAUAACUACGGUGACCAUAUUUUCUUAGAGAACAUAAAAGAUGAACCUAAAAAUUUUAGAACUUUCUCCCAAAUUAGUUUGUGACUGUCUGUGCAUUACGAAAUUCUUACAAUUUUUCCACAAUGCCGUUUAAAACGACAUAUUGUCUUCUAUUGCCACUAAUAUUUAAAAAAUAAAACUCGCGAGUCGCAAGGAAAUGUACGUGUAUGAAUAAUCUGUUAAUCGAUCUAGCC